GACGAACGCUGGCGGCGUGCCUAACACAUGCAAGUCGAACGCAGUGGGGACGGGUGAGUAACACGUGGGUAAUCUCCCAUCAGAGGGGAUAACACUUGGAAACAGGUGCUAAACCGAUACUGAUGGAUGGACCCGCGGUGCAUUAGGUAGUGGGGGAGGUAACGGCUCACCAAGGCCACGAUGCUGAGACGACCUGUGAGCGUGAUGGGCCACGCUGGGACUGAGACACGGCCCACACUCCUACGGGAGGCAGCAGAAGGGAAUCUUCGACAAUGUACACAAGUCUGACCGAACAACGCCGCGUGGAGGAAGAAAGUUUUCGGCUCGUAAAACCCUGUUGUUAGGGAGGCGGUAUCUGACCAGAACGCCACGGCUAACUCCGUGCCAGCAGCCGCGGUAAUUC
rnacentral:rRNA from 1 species